rnacentral:rRNA from 1 species
CAGUCGCCACGGAAUACGAAGGGUGCAAGCGUUACUCGGAAUUACUGGGCGUAAAGCGUGCGUAGGUGGUGGUUUAAGUCUGUUGUGAAAUCCCCGGGCUCAACCUGGGAAUGGCAAUGGAGACUGGACGGCUAGAGUGUGUCAGAGGAUGGUGGAAUUCCCGGUGUAGCGGUGAAAUGCGUAGAGAUCGGGAGGAACAUCAGUGGCGAAAGCGGCUCACUGGACCAUAACUGACGCUGAUGCACGAAAGCUAGGGGAGCAAACAGGAUUAGAUACCCGGGUAGUCCCUGUCUCUUAUACA